GUUGUGAUUUGCCUUCAUUUUAGUAUCUUUGAACCAUUGGAAACAGU
rfam:Bacteroides fluxus YIT 12057 genomic scaffold Scfld385, whole genome shotgun sequence.